AACGAACGCUGGCGGCAGGCCUAACACAUGCAAGUCGAGCGCGCCCUCCGGGGUGAGCGGCGGACGGGUGAGUAACGCGUGGGAACGUGCCCUUCUCUGCGGAAUAGCCUCGGGAAACUGAUAGUAAUACCGCAUACGCCCUUUGGGGGAAAGAUUUAUCGGAGAAGGAUGGGCCCGCGUUGGAUUAGGUAGUUGGUGGGGUAAUGGCCCACCAAGCCGACGAUCCAUAGCUGGUUUGAGAGGAUGAUCAGCCACACUGGGACUGGGACACGGCCCAGACUCCUACGGGAGGCAGCAGUGGGGAAUCUUAGACAAUGGGGGCAAUCCUGAUCUAGCCAUGCCGCGUGAGUGAUGAAGGCCUUAGGGUUGUAAAGCUCUUUCAGCUGGGAAGAUAAUGACGGUACCAGCAGAAGAAGCCCCGGCUAACUACGUG
rnacentral:rRNA from 1 species